AUGAAAGGGUUUGAAUGCUACACAGAUGAUUUUGUAUAUAAUCCUGGUGGUUUAUGGAUCUGCCUCCGCCGCAGAACUCGGAGGCUAUCUAAACCCACAAGGUAUAGGUCACAUCCGGGAGCACGAGGGAACUUCCGCUGUGAAUCCAUGGUGGCGGCUCUAGGCCCUCGGCUUGACUCUAUGGCAGCAGCCUUAGGAAGAAAGGGAGGGAAGGCCAAAUACCAAGUUACAACAACAACAAGAAAUGUGGCUUUGGAUUGCAUUAAGAAGAAAGCAUUAUAUUUGUUCUUCUUGGCCAUUACAAGUCAGGGCUGGGAGCCAUGGAUAUGAGAUGCAGAUGGUUUGUCAAACCAUAUGUUUCUAUUGAGUUUCUAUAGGCACAGGUAAGGCAAACUGCAUCCUUCAUCAACAUUCUUCAGAUAGUCACCAGCAGCAAUGAAAAUGGGGAGAUAAUGCUGCAUUCCCCCUAUUAUUCUUUUAUAUGUUUUUUCAUUAAAAUUGCAAUUAAUAAGUAUGUUUUCUUUGCCUCCUAACCACCCACUCAAAAAAUAAAACAAAAC
rnacentral:lncRNA from 1 species